rnacentral:rRNA from 1 species
UAGCAUAUCAAUAAGCGGAGGAAAAGAAACCAACUGGGAUUGCCCUAGUAACGGCGAGUGAAGCGGCAACAGCUCAAAUUUGAAAUCUGGCCCCCUGCGGGGUCCGAGUUGUAAUUUGCAGAGGGCGCUUUGGCGUCGGUAGCGGCCUAAGUUCCUUGGAACAGGACGUCACAGAGGGUGAGAAUCCCGUACGUGGCCGCCUACCUUCGCCGUGUAAAGCCCCUUCGACGAGUCGAGUUGUUUGGGAAUGCAGCUCUAAAUGGGAGGUAAAUUUCUUCUAAAGCUAAAUACCGGCCAGAGACCGAUAGCGCACAAGUAGAGUGAUCGAAAGAUGAAAAGCACUUUGGAAAGAGAGUCAAACAGCACGUGAAAUUGUUGAAAGGGAAGCGCUUGCAGUCAGACUUGCCCGCGGUUGCUCACCCCGGCUCUUGCCUGGGGCACUCUUCCGCGGGCAGGCCAGCAUCAGUUCGGGCGACCGGAUAAAGGCCUCUGUCACGUACCUUCCUGCGGGAAGGCCUUAUAGGGGAGGUGUAAUGCGGCCAGCCCGGACUGAGGUCCGCGCUCUUGCUAGGAUGCUGGCGUAAUGGCUGUAAGCGGCCCGUCUUGAAACACGGACCAAGGAGUCUAACAUCUAUGCGAGUGUUUGGGUGUCAAGCCCGGACGCGCAAUGAAAGUGAACGGAGGUGGGAACCCUCGGGUGCACCAUCGACCGAUCCUGAUGUCUUCGGAUGGAUUUGAGUAAGAGCAUAGCUGUUGGGACCCGAAAGAUGGUGAACUAUGCUUGAAUAGGGUGAAGCCAGAGGAAACUCUGGUGGAGGCUCGCAGCGGUUCUGACGUGCAAAUCGAUCGUCAAA